rnacentral:rRNA from 1 species
UGCAGCGACGCCGCGUGAGGGACGAAGGCCUUCGGGUUGUAAACCUCUUUCAGCAGGGAAGAAGCGAAAGUGACGGUACCUGCAGAAGAAGCGCCGGCUAACUACGUGCCAGCAGCCGCGGUAAUACGUAGGGCGCAAGCGUUAUCCGGAAUUAUUGGGCGUAAAGAGCUCGUAGGCGGUUUGUCGCGUCUGCUGUGAAAGCCCGGGGCUCAACCCCGGGUCUGCAGUGGGUACGGGCAGACUAGAGUGCAGUAGGGGAGACUGGAAUUCCUGGUGUAGCGGUGAAAUGCGCAGAUAUCAGGAGGAACACCGAUGGCGAAGGCAGGUCUCUGGGCUGUAACUGACGCUGAGGAGCGAAAGCAUGGGGAGCGAACAGGAUUAGAUACCCUGGUAGUCCAUGCCGUAAACGUUGGGCACUAGGUGUGGGGGACAUUCCACGUUUUCCGCGCCGUAGCUAACGCAUUAAGUGCCCCGCCUGG